rnacentral:rRNA from 1 species
AGUGAACGCUGGCGGUAGGCCUAACACAUGCAAGUCGAACGGCAGCACAGUAAGAGCUUGCUCUUACGGGUGGCGAGUGGCGGACGGGUGAGGAAUACAUCGGAAUCUACUUUUUCGUGGGGGAUAACGUGGGGAAACUUCCGCUAAUACCGCAUACGACCUACGGUUGAAAGCAGGGGAUCUUCGGACUUUGCGCGAUUGAAUGAGCCGAUGUCGGAUUAGCUAGUUGGCGGGGUAAAGGCCCACCAAGGCGACGAUCCGUAGCUGGUCUGAGAGGAUGAUCAGCCACACUGGAACUGAGACACGGUCCAGACUCCUACGGGAGGCAGCAGUGGGGAAUAUUGGACAAUGGGCGCAAGCCUGAUCCAGCCAUACCGCGUGGGUGAAGAAGGCCUUCGGGUUGUAAAGCCCUUUUGUUGGGAAAGAAAAGCAGCAGGUUAAUACCCCGCUGUUCUGACGGUACCCAAAGAAUAAGCACCGGCUAACUUCGUG